AGAGUUUGAUCCUGGCUCAGAUUGAACGCUGGCGGCAGGCCUAACACAUGCAAGUCGAACGGUAACAGGAAGAAGCUUGCUUCUUUGCUGACGAGUGGCGGACGGGUGAGUAAUGUCUGGGAAACUGCCUGAUGGAGGGGGAUAACUACUGGAAACGGUAGCUAAUACCGCAUAACGUCGCAAGACCAAAGAGGGGGACCUUCGGGCCUCUUGCCAUCGGAUGUGCCCAGAUGGGAUUAGCUAGUAGGUGGGGUAACGGCUCACCUAGGCGACGAUCCCUAGCUGGUCUGAGAGGAUGACCAGCCACACUGGAACUGAGACACGGUCCAGACUCCUACGGGAGGCAGCAGUGGGGAAUAUUACACAAUGGGCGCAAGCCUGAUGCAGCCAUGCCGCGUGUAUGAAGAAGGCCUUCGGGUUGUAAAGUACUUUCAGCGGGGAGGAAGGGAGUAAAGUUAAUACCUUUGCUCAUUGACGUUACCCGCAGAAGAAGCACCGGCUAACUCCGUGCCAGCAGCCGCGGUAAUACGGAGGGUGCAAGCGUUAAUCGGAAUUACUGGGCGUAAAGCGCACGCAGGCGGUUUGUUAAGUCAGAUGUGAAAUCCCCGGGCUCAACCUGGGAACUGCAUCUGAUACUGGCAAGCUUGAGUCUCGUAGAGGGGGGUAGAAUUCCAGGUGUAGCGGUGAAAUGCGUAGA
rnacentral:rRNA from 1 species